rnacentral:rRNA from 1 species
UGGCUCAGGAUGAACGCUGGCGGCGUGCUUAACACAUGCAAGUCGAACGAUGAAGCCCAGCUUGCUGGGUGGAUUAGUGGCGAACGGGUGAGUAACACGUGAGUAACCUGCCCUUAACUCUGGGAUAAGCCUGGGAAACUGGGUCUAAUACCGGAUAGGAGCGUCCACCGCAUGGUGGGUGUUGGAAAGAUUUAUCGGUUUUGGAUGGACUCGCGGCCUAUCAGCUUGUUGGUGAGGUAAUGGCUCACCAAGGCGACGACGGGUAGCCGGCCUGAGAGGGUGACCGGCCACACUGGGACUGAGACACGGCCCAGACUCCUACGGGAGGCAGCAGUGGGGAAUAUUGCACAAUGGGCGCAAGCCUGAUGCAGCGACGCCGCGUGAGGGAUGACGGCCUUCGGGUUGUAAACCUCUUUCAGUAGGGAAGAAGCGAAAGUGACGGUACCUGCAGAAGAAGCACCGGCUAACUACGUGCCAGCAGCCGCGGUAAUACGUAGGGUGCGAGCGUUAUCCGGAAUUAUUGGGCGUAAAGAGCUCGUAGGCGGUUUGUCGCGUCUGUCGUGAAAGUCCGGGGCUUAACCCCGGAUCUGCGGUGGGUACGGGCAGACUAGAGUGCAGUAGGGGAGACUGGAAUUCCUGGUGUAGCGGUGGAAUGCGCAGAUAUCAGGAGGAACACCGAUGGCGAAGGCAGGUCUCUGGGCUGUAACUGACGCUGAGGAGCGAAAGCAUGGGGAGCGAACAGGAUUAGAUACCCUGGUAGUCCAUGCCGUAAACGUUGGGCACUAGGUGUGGGGACCAUUCCACGGUUUCCGCGCCGCAGCUAACGCAUUAAGUGCCCCGCCUGGGGAGUACGGCCGCAAGGCUAAAACUCAAAGGAAUUGACGGGGGCCCGCACAAGCGGCGGAGCAUGCGGAUUAAUUCGAUGCAACGCGAAGAACCUUACCAAGGCUUGACAUGUUCUCGAUCGCCGUAGAGAUACGGUUUCCCCUUUGGGGCGGGUUCACAGGUGGUGCAUGGUUGUCGUCAGCUCGUGUCGUGAGAUGUUGGGUUAAGUCCCGCAACGAGCGCAACCCUCGUUCCAUGUUGCCAGCACGUCGUGGUGGGGACUCAUGGGAGACUGCCGGGGUCAACUC